UACGAAGGGGGCUAGCGUUGCUCGGAAUCACUGGGCGUAAAGGGUGCGUAGGCGGGUCUUUAAGUCAGGGGGGAAAUCCUGGAGCUCAACUCCAGAACUGCCUUUGAUACUGGGAAGCUUGAGUCCGGGAGAGGUGAGUGGAACUCCGAGUGUAGAGGUGAAAUUCGUAGAUAUUCGGAAGAACACCAGUGGCGAAGGCGGCUCACUGGCCCGGUACUGACGCUGAGGUGCGAAAGCGUGGGGAGCAAACAGG
rnacentral:rRNA from 1 species